GCCACCCUACGUUCGAAACAUAAAAAAAGGCAUAGCCACCCUACGGACCACCAAAGCGCUGUGACGUUCUCUAAUAACGUCGUUUUGCAAAAGAAAAUUUAUAUGUAGAUUUAUUUUCAUUUAUAAAAAUUUAUUAAUUAUUUUUACUUAUCUUUAAAAUAUUAGAUAUCCAAAGCAGACUGUAAUGUACAAUUCUUUCCCAGUUCGCAGGCCUUUCGUUACGCUUUUAGCUUCCUUCGCUUCGCUCUUAGGCAUUUUACGCUCAAGCGUUACGUUUUCUCUUACUUUCUUGUCAUGUCAAUUUAAUGUUCCCCAGAAGUCUUCAGCUAAGCCAAACACUGCUCAUUUUAUUCUCUGUUUUUUCCUAUUUAUCUGUUUUUCAAAUUCAAAUGCUUAUCAGCUGACCUGAGAGAGAGAUAAAGUUGGAAUCGGAGCAAAUAUGGAGAACGUAAUUGCAGGUAAUGGAACUGCCAAUGAUGGAAUUAUAAAGAACGGUGUGUGCUCCUCCGAGUCGGACAAUGGAAGCUGUGAUGUGUGGAGUUGUAAGGACUCUGAUUCUUCUUCAGCUGAUCAUCUCGUUAUCAUGGUCCAUGGAAUCCUUGGAAGUGCCUCAGAUUGGAAGUUUGCAGCUGAGCAGUUUGUUAGAAUGCUUCCUGAUAAAGUGAUUGUUCAUUGUAGUGAACGAAAUGUGUCUAGGCUGACUCUUGAUGGUGUGGAUGUGAUGGGUGAGCGGUUGGCUGAGGAGGUCCUUCAAGUGAUUCAGAGAAAGCCAAAUUUGCGAAAGAUUUCCUUCAUUGCACAUUCUGUGGGAGGACUGGUGGCAAGAUAUGCAAUUGGAAGAUUGUAUAGAUCACCCCAGAAAGAAAAUUUAGAGGAUUCAGCGGCUGAUGCACAUGAAGAGGAUCUAAAGGCUACAAUAGGUGGCUUGGAGGCUAUCAACUUCAUCACUGUUGCUACACCUCACCUUGGCUCAAGAUGGAAUAAGCAGGUAUCAUAUUUUAACUAUUUCUGUUCAUCUAGAGCUUUAAGCCUCAUCAAUGUCCACCCUAAGACUUGAGAAAACAACAUGAUAAUAUGAUAUGGUUGGUUACAUUCUAAUAGAGAAAGAGUAACUUGACAUUCUUUGCAUAAAAGAAAUGUUGUAAUAGUAAAGAAAAAUCCGAUAGUUUAUGAAUCAGGACUCUUUUGAAUUAUGGGCUGAAAGAAUGCAUUGUGAUUCCCAGUUGCUUCUACAGUAUUUCCCUUGAGAGAUUGAGAGUAUGGACUGUUAUUGGUAUAGUGCCUGUAUUAAUGCCGCCUAUAUUCCUUGACCAUAAAAUAAAAACAUUUUCAUGGGAAAAGGAUAAUAAAUUUAACAAUAAUUAAACAAGACUACAAGAGGAUCUUUUUGUUGUAGUUGUAUAUGCUCUCAGCUUGCUUGAAAGCUUGGAGUUUUAUCUUACAGCUGCUUUAGGCCAUGAUGAAUUCAAGUUGGCACUUUUCCUCACGACUCUUGCCUGAUCUGAGCAAAUUGUCAUUUUUCUGCAAGUGAACCUGAAACGCAUGAUGAUUUGUGUUAGCUUAGUUUGCAUGGAUGGGCAACUUUGAGCUGAUAUUUAAUUGGAAGAAUGAUAAAAAGGAACCCAGUUUUGUACAAUAAUUGCUCACAUGCGUCACUGUGGUACCUGAAUCAACUACAAAAAUAUGCCUAAUGCUGCUUUAUGAAUUUGCAUCAGCUGUUAGUUUUACUUUUUUACAAUCCAUUCAUGAUAUAGUUAACCUGGAAUCCUACUAACUCUGGGUAUGUAAAUAGUAUUUCACAUUUUUCUGUUUUUAUGUGAACUGCUGCAUAUUAAUAUACCUAUUCGUAGGUUUUAGGGGACCGGCAUUAAAACCCUUUACCUAUUUUGUUAAAAAUUGUUUUUUUUUUUUGGAGGUACCUUUUCUUUUUGGUGUAACUGCCUUUGAAAAAGCUGCGGGUCUUGUUAUUCAUUGGAUAUUUAAGAGAACAGGUCGACACCUUUUUCUCACGGAUGAUGAUGAGGGACAACCUCCAUUGCUUAAACGCAUGAUAGAAGAUUAUUGUGAUUGCUUUUUCAUGUAUACCACUUGGAUCCCAAUUGUUAUUUGAAUUGUUUUAUUUUCACUAAUUUUCUUAAGGUGUCAUCUCUGUCAUAUCCAGAUGUGUAAUUUAACAGAAGCACCUAACUCAAUAUGCAGGUCUGCUUUGUGUACAUUCAAGCGUCGUGUUGUGUAUUCAAAUGUGGGCUAUGACCGUAUCCUUAUAAUUCAUUCUUCAUUAUAAGUGGCCAUUAUUCAUUAUGGUCUGAAUUUUUUCUAGUCUUCCUUCCUUUGUUUCCUUCAUGAAAAACCAUAUAGAUAUUGUGGGCUGGAGAACAUCAUCCAUCAGGCGUAACAAUGAAUUACCAAAGGUGUGCUUGGAAUUUGUAUUUAUUUAUUUAUAAUGUUUUUGACCUGCUGGGUGGAAUUUAGUGAUUUCUCUUGCCUAUCAGUGGGAGGAUUAUGUGAAUGAAAAAUAUCCACAUAUCGUAUAUGAAGAACGCUGCAAAGCCUAUGAUGCCGAACAAUGCGAUCUUAUAUCAACAGAAGAUAAUAGCUCUGACAAGCUAGAAGGUAUGUACCUAUGAUCUUUGAAUUCAAAGAUAACAGCAGUUUUGAUGACUGUUAGUUUUGAUGACUCUGUUAAGUUAUUUGCCUUAGGUUCUACCAACUCAUAAUGAUGAAAAUACCUUUUGUACAUUUGUAUUGCCUACUGCUUCUAAAAGCUUGUUAAUUGAGAGUAUUUGUGCAGAGGAACUAGUGACAGGUCUAUCCCGUGUGUCCUGGGAAAAAGUAGAUGUUAGCUUCCACACCUGCAGACAGAGGUUUGCUGCUCAUAGCGUGAUUCAGGUUUUUCUCACAUCCUCUCUCUCACGCACGCAAGCACAUUAUUGAAAGUUGGCAUGCAAUUACGGUCACAUUCCUGCCGUUGGUUUUGCCUGCAGCUGGGGUUCUUUUGGUGACAUGUUAAACAUGGAAAAUUUCUUGGAUUCAUAUUGGUGCCUCUAGUCUCUUGUGUAUUCAGUGCAAAAACACUGAAAGAAAUUCUUUUCCUUAUAUACUACAUUAUUUCUGAAGGCGCAAACUAAUUGUGGAUGCUUUGCAGGUCAAAGAUCAUAUCAUGCAUAUAGAAGGUGCAGAUGUUAUACAGCAUAUGAUUGAUCAUUUUCUUCUUUAGAAUUCAAUGACUGGUAGAUUUAACACAUUUAUUGCUGGAUGCAAGAUCUUAUAUCAUGGUACAAUAAUAUUCUUCUGAAAAUCCUUUCCAUUCUUUCUGGCUACAAAUAAGCUGUACCUAAAAUUCUGUUGGCAGCAGAUUGAAGUUUGUCUGCUUUAUCGGUGAUGGCAAACACAACAAGAACAGUGACUAAACAGCAUUCAAGGGAAAUUUUGUUUAUUCAUUACUACUUGUAAUUCCGUAUAUACAACAAUAUCAAUAAACUCGAUAAUUCCUGUUAUUUUGUUAAUCGACUUAAUUCAUGCAAGUAAGCUGUUCUAUUUUCGGUUAGUUAAAAA
rnacentral:misc_RNA from 1 species